rnacentral:rRNA from 1 species
ACAAAAACAUGUCCUAGGGGUGAAAAUACUAGGUCGAACCUACCCAAUGUACCACAAUCAAUGGUCGCAGGAUAACUGUGCUAAGGUAGCGUAACAAAUUGCCCUUUAAUUGGGGGAUGGAAUGAAUGGUCUGACAAGGGUAGAUCUGUCUCCCUUAUGGUUGUACGAAAUUUAGCUCUGAGUAAAAACGCUCAGAUAGGAAGGAGGGACGAUAAGACCCUAAGAUCUUGAAUCUUACAGUUCUACAAUGGGUUGGUAGGAUUUUACUUGGGAAGGGGUGUGUACACAAACUACCAUCAAAAUAAAGAAGGAACAGUUCGAAUUUGGUGAACCCUCUAAAGAGACACAGGACAAAGUUACCUUAGGGAUAACAGGGAUAUUCUUUCUUGGGAGAUCGGAUUUCUGGAAAGGGUUUCCACCUCGAUGUUGAAUUAAAGUGCCGUUCUGGAGUAGAAACUAGGGAAGUUGGAUUGUUCAUCCAUUUAAACUUUACGUGAUCUGA